rnacentral:rRNA from 1 species
UACGUAGGGGGCAAGCGUUGUCCGGAAUCAUUGGGCGUAAAGCGCGUGUAGGCGGCCCGGUAAGUCCGCUGUGAAAGUCCAGGGCUCAACCCUGGGAUGCCGGUGGAUACUGUCGGGCUCGAGUCCGGAAGAGGCGAGUGGAAUUCCACGUGUAGCAGUGAAAUGCGUAGAGAUGUGGAGGAACACCGAUGGCGAAGGCAGCCCCCUGGGCUGAGAUUGACGCUCAGGCACGAAAGCGUGGGGAGCAAACAGG